UAUAGAAAUGCUACUGAUUUUUGUAUGCUGAUUUUCUCUGUGAAGAGGAUGUCUUUGGUCUCCAACCUGCCCUGUCUCUCCAGCGUACAUGCACAGCUACACAUGAGCCACGUAUAUGAAUAAAAGCAAAUACAGAAAAGGUCUGGAAGAAUUUACAGCAUGCUGAUGAUGGAGCCUCUUCUGGUGGAGGGAUGUAAGGUGGAUGGGCGCAAGAAAGGAGGUGGUGACACAGAAUAGGGACUGGGCUUGGGCCUCUUGCGCCUGACCAUGGGAGUCAACAUAACAGGACUGCAUUAGCUGCACAUGGCUAAAAAUAGUUUCCUAACUGCCAGAAUUUAGCCCCUGUCCAUACAAGAAAAGGACUCAACCAUCUGUCUCUUGAAUAAUGUUUUUCAAGACCAAUGAAGCAAGACACUGACACAAGCUGAUAAGGAACUUGCCUGUAAAGAAACGAGACUUAUCCAGAUCUCACUGCUUCCAGUCAGGAUAGUCCCCCGCAAUACAUACACAUACACACUGACCUUACCCUGCCAUUUUCUUCAUCAUAAUCUCAUUUUAAUGCUAAAAGUCACUCAGGGUAGAUAUUUAACAUGCUAAUGAGAGUUGUGACGCAGGAAGAAGCAUGUAAUAACAUUGUGUAGGCACGAAGUAAUCUCCACCUCUACAUGCUUACACGUUACCCCGUUCCCACCUACACCUCUUUAAAACGCUCCUCUCGGGGAUCCAGCCUGAGUACUCUUU